CAACUGAAGAAAAGAGAUUCUUAGACAGACUGGUUACACUGGGCCAGAGGAAAGGACUGCAUCUGUCUAAAGAGAUACAGCAGGAAGUAAAAAAAACCUCCAAGCUUAUCAGUGACCUCUCCAUAGAAUUCAACAGGAAUCUGAAUGAGGACAGUACAUUUCUUGUUUUUUCCGAGCAUGAACUGGGAGGCCUCGCUGAAAUCUAUCUCAAUGGUCUGGAGAGGACAGCAGAGGGGAAGUACAAGGUGACGCUGGAAUAUCCCCACUACCACCCCCUGAUGAAGAGGUGCCACAAUCCUGAGACCCGGAGGAAGAUGGAAACAGCUUUCCACAGCAGGUGUAAACAGGUGAACACGGCGAUUCUUGAACAGCUAAUCCAACUAAAGGCAAAGGUGGCAGACUUACUCGGUUACAGCAGCCAUGCAAACUAUGUGCUGGAGAUUAACAUGGCUAAACACGCAGGCAAUGUGUCCGGCUUCAUAGGUACGAGCCUUCUGAUACCUCGACCUCACACAAGUACAUAUGCCGUAAUUUAUGUGGCAUGUAGGCUGCCAAGAGCGUGCCACAGUACAUGUCUU